rnacentral:rRNA from 1 species
ACGAACGCUGGCGGCGUGCUUAGCACAUGCAAGUCGAACGGAAAGGCCCUGCUUUUGUGGGGUGCUCGAGUGGCGAACGGGUGAGUAACACGUGAGUAACCUGCCCUUGACUUUGGGAUAACUUCAGGAAACUGGGGCUAAUACCGGAUAGGAGCUCCUGCUGCAUGGUGGGGGUUGGAAAGUUUCGGCGGUUGGGGAUGGACUCGCGGCUUAUCAGCUUGUUGGUGGGGUAGUGGCUUACCAAGGCUUUGACGGGUAGCCGGCCUGAGAGGGUGACCGGCCACAUUGGGACUGAGAUACGGCCCAGACUCCUACGGGAGGCAGCAGUGGGGAAUAUUGCACAAUGGGCGGAAGCCUGAUGCAGCAACGCCGCGUGCGGGAUGACGGCCUUCGGGUUGUAAACCGCUUUCGCCUGUGACGAAGCGUGAGUGACGGUAAUGGGUAAAGAAGCACCGGCUAACUACG